AGUAAAGUAAGCUAAGAUAAGCUGUUGGGUUCAUACCUCAAUUAUAGAUUCAGUAUUCUCUUUAUUA
rnacentral:tRNA from 1 species